rnacentral:misc_RNA from 1 species
CUGGCAUUUGAGUCCCCCCCAUUUGUGAGACCGGAAGAAGUUGAAAAAUUUGGCCGAUUUGGUCGUGCAGCAGGUUUCACAGGUCGAAGCGAGGACCCCAAACCUGCAGGUCGCUCAACAGAAAAGAGCCUGGUUCCAUCUUGAGAGGUCACAGUGACAGUGUCAUCCUCUGAGCCAGCACUAGUUGCUGCUUUCAAGAGGGCUGCCAAGGCAG